UACGGAGGGUGCGAGCGUUAGUCGGAAUUACUGGGCGUAAAGGGUGCGUAGGUGGUUUGAUAAGUUAUCUGUGAAAUCCCCGGGUUUAACCUGGGAAGGUCAGAUAAGACUGUUAGACUCGAGUAUAGGAGAGGGUAGUGGAAUUUCCGGUGUAGCGGUGAAAUGCGUAGAGAUCGGAAGGAACACCAGUGGCGAAGGCGGCCACCUGGCCUAAUACUGACACUGAGGCACGAAAGCGUGGGGAGCAAACAGG
rnacentral:rRNA from 1 species